rnacentral:rRNA from 1 species
UACGAGGGGGGCGAGCGUUGUUCGGAAUUACUGGGCGUAAAGCGCACGUAGGCGGCUUUGUAAGUUAGAGGUGAAAGCCCGGGGCUCAACUCCGGAAUUGCCUUUAAGACUGCAUCGCUAGAAUUGUGGAGAGGUAAGUGGAAUUCCGAGUGUAGAGGUGAAAUUCGUAGAUAUUCGGAAGAACACCAGUGGCGAAGGCGACUUACUGGACACGUAUUGACGCUGAGGUGCGAAAGCGUGGGGAGCAAACAGG